rnacentral:rRNA from 1 species
UCGAACGGCAGCACGGGAGCAAUCCUGGUGGCGAGUGGCGAACGGGUGAGUAAUAUAUCGGAACGUGCCCAGUCGUGGGGGAUAACGUAGCGAAAGCUACGCUAAUACCGCAUACGAUCUAUGGAUGAAAGCGGGGGAUCGCAAGACCUCGCGCGAUUGGAGCGGCCGAUAUCAGAUUAGGUAGUUGGUGAGGUAAAGGCUCACCAAGCCGACGAUCUGUAGCUGGUCUGAGAGGACGACCAGCCACACUGGGACUGAGACACGGCCCAGACUCCUACGGGAGGCAGCAGUGGGGAAUUUUGGACAAUGGGCGCAAGCCUGAUCCAGCAAUGCCGCGUGCAGGAUGAAGGCCUUCGGGUUGUAAACUGCUUUUGUACGGAACGAAACGGUGAGCUCUAAUACAGUUUGCUAAUGACGGUACCGUAAGAAUAAGCACCGGCUAACUACGUG